CUUUUAGCAGGGAAGAAGCGAGAGUGACGGUACCUGCAGAAAAAGCACCGGCUAACUACGUGCCAGCAGCCGCGGUAAUACGUAGGGUGCAAGCGUUAUCCGGAAUUAUUGGGCGUAAAGAGCUCGUAGGCGGUCUGUCGCGUCUGCUGUGAAAUUCCGAGGCUCAACCUCGGGCUUGCAGUGGGUACGGGCAGACUAGAGUGCGGUAGGGGAGAUUGGAAUUCCUGGUGUAGCGGUGGAAUGCGCAGAUAUCAGGAGGAACAUCGAUGGCGAAGGCAGAUCUCUGGGCCGUAACUGACGCUGAGGAGCGAAAGGGUGGGGAGCAAACAGGCUUAGAUACCCUGGUAGUCCACCCCGUAAACGUUGGGAACUAGUUGUGGGGUCCUUUCCACGGAUUCCGUGACGCAGCUAACGCAUUAAGUUCCCCGCCUGGGGAGUACGGCCGCAAGGCUAAAACUCAAAGGAAUUGACGGGGACCCGCACAAGCGGCGGAGCAUGCGGAUUAAUUCGAUGCAACGCGAAGAACCUUACCAAGGCUUGACAUACACGAGAACGGGCCAGAAAUGGUCAACUCUUUGGACACUCGUGAACAGGUGGUGCAUGGUUGUCGUCAGCUCGUGUCGUGAGAUGUUGGGUUAAGUCCCGCAACGAGCGCAACCCUCGUUCUAUGUUGCCAGCACGUAAUGGUGGGAACUCAUGGGAUACUGCCGGGGUCAACUCGGAGGAAGGUGGGGAUGACG
rnacentral:rRNA from 1 species